CGGCUGUCGUAUCAUUGGUCCUAAGGUAGCAGAAUUCCUUGACAGGUAAAUUCCGUCCAGCAUGAGCGGUGUUACGACUUCCUCACUGUCACUAGCCCGGUCUUUCAGAAAUUGAGUCAUCCUUGAUUACGAGGAAGCCAACGGCCUGACGAUAAGACCCUGAGCACCUUUCCU
rnacentral:rRNA from 1 species